UACGGAGGGUGCAAGCGUUAUCCGGAUUCACUGGGUUUAAAGGGUGCGUAGGUGGGCAGGUAAGUCCGUGGUGAAAUCUCCAGCUUAACUUGGAAACUGCCGUGGAUACUAUCUGUCUUGAAUACCGUGGAGGUGAGCGGAAUAUGUCAUGUAGCGGUGAAAUGCUUAGAUAUGACAUAGAACACCAAUUGCGAAGGCAGCUCACUACACGCUUAUUGACACUGAGGCACGAAAGCGUGGGGAUCGAAACAGGAGU
rnacentral:rRNA from 1 species